UACGGGGGGGGCAAGCAUUGUUCGGAAUUACUGGGCGUAAAGGGCUCGUAGGCGGCCAACUAAGUCGGAUGUGAAAUCCCCAGGCUUAACCUGGGAACUGCAUCCGAUACUGGAUGGCUUGAAUCCGGGAGAGGGAUGCAGAAUUCCAGGUGUAGCGGUGAAAUGCGUAAAUAUCUGGAGGAAUACCGGUGGCGAAGGCGGCAUCCUGGACCGGCAUUGACGCUGAGGAGCGAAAGCUAGGGGAGCAAACGGG
rnacentral:rRNA from 1 species